rnacentral:rRNA from 1 species
UACGAAGGGGGCUAGCGUUGUUCGGAAUCACUGGGCGUAAAGCGCACGUAGGCGGAUCUUUAAGUCAGGGUGAAAUCCCGGGCUCAACCUCGGAACUGCCUUUGAUACUGGGGAUCUCGAGUCCGGGAGAGGUGAGUGGAACUGCGAGUGUAGAGGUGAAAUUCGUAGAUAUUCGCAAGAACACCAGUGGCGAAGGCGGCUCACUGGCCCGGUACUGACGCUGAGGUGCGAAAGCGUGGGAGCAACAGGAUAGAUACCGAGUACGUCCA